rfam:Euryarchaeota archaeon TMED97 MHASMcontig_201363, whole genome shotgun sequence.
CCGAGCUUAGCUCAGUUGGCUAGAGCACCUGACUGUAGACUGGAAAUAACAACUUCGGUUGUUGGCCAAAUGGCCAUCAGGGGGUCCCCGGUUCAAGUCCGGGAGCUCGGA